rnacentral:tRNA from 1 species
GCUUCUGUGGUCUAGUGGUAUGACGUCCGCCUCACAUUCGUGACCUCGCGGCAGGUCGCGAGUUCGAUCCUCGCCGGAAGUA